rnacentral:tRNA from 1 species
GCCGAUGUAGCUUAAAUUAAAGCAUGACCUUGAAGACGUUAAGAUGAACCCUAGAAAGUUCCAUUAGCA